GACGAACGCUGGCGGCGUGCUUAACACAUGCAAGUCGAACGAUGAAGCUAGAGCUUGCUCUGGUGGAUUAGUGGCGAACGGGUGAGUAACACGUGAGUAACCUGCCCCGAACUCUGGGAUAACUGCUGGAAACGGUAGCUAAUACCGGAUAUGACCAAUGAAGGCAUCUUCUAUUGGUGGAAAGAAUUUCGGUUCGGGAUGGACUCGCGGCCUAUCAGCUUGUUGGUGAGGUAACGGCUCACCAAGGCGACGACGGGUAGCCGGCCUGAGAGGGUGAUCGGCCACACUGGGACUGAGACACGGCCCAGACUCCUACGGGAGGCAGCAGUGGGGAAUAUUGCACAAUGGGCGCAAGCCUGAUGCAGCAACGCCGCGUGAGGGACGACGGCCUUCGGGUUGUAAACCUCUUUUAGUAGGGAAGAAGCGAAAGCGACGGUACCUGCAGAAAAAGCACCGGCUAACUACGUGCCAGCAGCCGCCGCGG
rnacentral:rRNA from 1 species